GACGAACGCUGGCGGCGUGCUUAACACAUGCAAGUCGAACGGAAAGGCCCUGCUUUUGUGGGGUGCUCGAGUGGCGAACGGGUGAGUAACACGUGAGUAACCUGCCCUUGACUUUGGGAUAACUUCAGGAAACUGGGGCUAAUACCGGAUAGGAGCUCCUGCUGCAUGGUGGGGGUUGGAAAGUUUCGGCGGUUGGGGAUGGACUCGCGGCUUAUCAGCUUGUUGGUGGGGUAGUGGCUUACCAAGGCUUUGACGGGUAGCCGGCCUGAGAGGGUGACCGGCCACAGUGGGACUGAGAUACGGCCCAGACUCCUACGGGAGGCAGCAGUGGGGAAUAUUGCACAAUGGGCGGAAGCCGUAUGCAGCAACGCCGCGUGCGGGAUGACGGCCUUCGGGUUGUAAACCGCUUUCGCCUGUGACGAAGCGUGAGUGACGGUAAUGGGUAAAGAAGCACCGGCUAACUACGUG
rnacentral:rRNA from 1 species